rnacentral:rRNA from 1 species
CCUACGGGAGGCAGCAGUAGGGAAUAUUGCUCAAUGGGGGAAACCCUGAAGCAGCAACGCCGCGUGGAUGAUGAAGGGUUUCGGAGCGUAAACUCCUGUUGUUAGAGAAGAAAAUGACUUUAUCUAACGAAUAAGCACCGGCUAACUCCGUGCCAGCAGCCGCGGUAAUACGGAGGGGGCAAGUGUUACGCGGAAGCACUGGGCGUAAAGAGCGCGUAGGCGGGAUAGCAAGUCAGAUGUGAAAUCCCAUGGUUUAACCAUAGAACUGCAUUGGAAACUGUUAUUCUAGAGUACGGGAGAGGUAGGUGGAAUUCUUGGUGUAGGGGUGAAAUCCGUAGAGAUCAAGAGGAAUACUCAUUGCGAAGGCGACCUGCUAGACCAUAACUGACGCUGAUGCGCGAAAGCGUGGGGAGCAAACAGGAUUAGAUACCCGUGUAGUC